rnacentral:rRNA from 1 species
GGAUGGGCCUGCGUCCUAUCAGCUGGUUGGUAAGGGUAACGGCCUACCAAGGCGACGACGGGUAGCUGGUCUGAGAGGAUGAUCAGCCACACUGGCACUGAAACACGGGCCAGACUCCUACGGGAGGCAGCAGUGAGGAAUUUUGCGCAAUGGGAGCAAUCCUGACGCAGCAACGCCGCGUGGGCGAUGAAGGCCUUCGGGUCGUAAAGCCCUGUCGGGCGGGAAGAAAGUGCUCGGGUUGAUAAGGCUCGGGCGUUGACGGUACCGCCGGAGGAAGCACCGGCUAACUCCGUGCCAGCAGCCGCGGUAAUACGGAGGGUGCGAGCGUUAUUCGGAAUUACUGGGCGUAAAGCGCGUGCAGGCGGACGGGUAAGUCUGAUGUGAAAGCCCCGGGCUCAACCCGGGAAGAGCAUUGGAAACUGCUCAUCUUGAGUGUCGGAGAGGAAGGGAGAAUUCCCGGUGCAGAGGUGAAAUUCGUAGAGAUCGGGAGGAACACCAGUGGCGAAGGCGCCCUUCUGGACGACAACUGACGCUGAGACGCGAGAGCGUGGGGAGCAAACAGGAUUAGAUACCCUGGUAGUCCACGCCGUAAACGGUGCCAACUGGGUGUAGCGGGUACUCAUUCCUGCUGUGCCGCAGCUAACGCGUUAA